AUUGAACGCUGGCGGCAUGCCUUACACAUGCAAGUCGAACGGUAACAGGUCUUCGGAUGCUGACGAGUGGCGAACGGGUGAGUAAUACAUCGGAACGUGCCCGAGAGUGGGGGAUAACGAAGCGAAAGCUUUGCUAAUACCGCAUACGAUCUCAGGAUGAAAGCAGGGGACCGCAAGGCCUUGCGCUCACGGAGCGGCCGAUGGCAGAUUAGGUAGUUGGUGGGAUAAAAGCUUACCAAGCCGACGAUCUGUAGCUGGUCUGAGAGGACGACCAGCCACGCUGGGACUGAGACACGGCCCAGACUCCUACGGGAGGCAGCAGUGGGGAAUUUUGGACAAUGGGCGCAAGCCUGAUUCAGCCAUGCCGCGUGCAGGAUGAAGGCCUUCGGGUUGUAAACUGCUUUUGUACGGAACGAAAAGACUCCUUCUAAUAAAGGGGGUCCAUGACGGUACCGUAAGAAUAAGCACCGGCUAACUACGUGCCAGCAGCCGCGGUAAUAC
rnacentral:rRNA from 1 species